rnacentral:misc_RNA from 1 species
AAAUGGUUGCUGAGCAUAUAUUAUCUGAAGAAACUUGAGAUGAGAAAUGAUUUUUAGCAAGGGUAACUACUAAUGAAUUAUUUACUGUCAUAUUUCUUUUCAAAUAUUGUAUUUUACUUAAAAAGUAUUCACAUUUUUUAUCACAAUGUAAUUCCAUGCAAUUUCACCUAGUUAUGUAAUUUUUGGACAAAAAUAAUAUAAACUUGUGGUGCAAACAUCUUUUACAAGAAAUGAAAGUUGCAGUAGAAGUUCUCAAGCAUUCCCUGUCGAACGCCACUAUACAGAGUCAAAUGACGUCACAUAAGUUAGUGUUCAUUAUGCUGGAGUUUGACGAUAUCGAAUAUUCAGCACUGUCCGAUCUAGAUUAUAUGUUGUUGUAUGGCUCAACCUAUUGCUUCAUAUGUAUAAUAUAUAUGUAGGUAAUAAAGAUAUAACAACACU